rnacentral:rRNA from 2 species
UCUUGGUGGCUGUAGAGAAGAGGAAACACCUGAUCCCAUCCCGAACUCAGAAGUUAAGCUCUUCAUCGCCGAUGGUACUGUGCACUAGAGUACGGGAGAGUAGGUCGCCGCCAAGUU